CACGUAGGGCGCAAGCGUUGUCCGGAAUUAUUGGGCGUAAAGAGCUCGUAGGCGGUCUGUCGCGUCUGCUGUGAAAACUCAGGGCUUAACCCUGAGCUUGCAGUGGGUACGGGCAGACUAGAGUGCGGUAGGGGAGACUGGAAUUCCUGGUGUAGCGGUGAAAUGCGCAGAUAUCAGGAGGAACACCCGUGGCGAAGGCGGCUCUCUGGUACGUGACUGACGCUGAGACGCGAAAGCGUGGGGAGCGAACAGG
rnacentral:rRNA from 1 species